rnacentral:misc_RNA from 1 species
AACGCACAUUGCGCCCGGUGGUAUUCCGCCGGGCAUGCCUGUUCGAGCGUCAUUUAAACCAAUCCAGCCUCGUGCUUGGGUCUUGGGCCUUUCGCCUUUGGGCGGGCCUCAAAAUCAGUGGCGGUGCCUUCUGGCUCUAAGCGUAGUAAUACUCCUCGCUAUGGAUGUCAGGUGGUGUCUUGCCAGUAACCCCUAAUUUUUUAAGGUUGACCUCGGAUCAGGUAGGGAUACCCGCUGAACUUAA